rnacentral:rRNA from 1 species
GACGAACGCUGGCGGCGUGCCUAACACAUGCAAGUCGAGCGGGGAUAUACGGAAGGUUUACCGGAAGCAUAUCCUAGCGGCGGACGGGUGAGUAACGCGUGGGCAACCUACCCUUAAGACCGGGAUAACACCUCGAAAGGGGUGCUAAUACUGGAUAAGCUCCUUGUAGGGCAUCCUAUGGGGAGGGAAGGUAGCGGAAGCUACCGCUUAAGGAUGGGCCCGCGUCCCAUCAGCUAGUUGGUAGGGUAACGGCCUACCAAGGCGACGACGGGUAGCCGGCCUGAGAGGGUGGUCGGCCACACUGGGACUGAGACACGGCCCAGACUCCUACGGGAGGCAGCAGUGGGGAAUCUUGCGCAAUGGGCGAAAGCCUGACGCAGCGACGCCGCGUGAGCGAAGAAGGCCUUGGUCGUAAGCUCGAUAGUGUGGAGGAAUAGAUGACGGUACCGACACGAAAGACCCGGCGUAACCUACGUAGCCAGCAGCAGCUGACACUCAGCU